GCGGCAGGCCUAACACAUGCAAGUCGAGCGGAUGAGGGGUGCUUGCACCCCGAUUCAGCGGCGGACGGGUGAGUAACACGUGGGAACGUGCCCUUCGGUUCGGAAUAACUCAGGGAAACUUGAGCUAAUACCGGAUACGCCCUUUUGGGGAAAGGUUUACCGCCGAAGGAUCGGCCCGCGUCUGAGUAGCUUGUUGGUGGGGUAACGGCCUACCAAGGCGACGAUCAGUAGCUGGUCUGAGAGGAUGAUCAGCCACACUGGGACUGAGACACGGCCCAGACUCCUACGGGAGGCAGCAGUGGGGAAUAUUGGACAAUGGGCGCAAGCCUGAUCCAGCCAUGCCGCGUGAGUGAUGAAGGCCUUAGGGUUGUAAAGCUCUUUUGUCCGGGACGAUAAUGACGGUACCGGAAGAAUAAGCCCCGGCUAACUUCGUGCCAGCCGCCGCAGUAA
rnacentral:rRNA from 1 species